ACGAUGGAUGCCCGCUGUUAGCGCCUGGCGUUAGCGGCUAAGCGAAAGCAUUAAGCAUCCCACCUGGGGAGUACGCCGGCAACGGUGAAAACUCAAAAGGAAUUGACGGGGGCCCGCACAAGCGGAGGAACAUGUGGUUUAAUUCGAUGAUACGCGAGGAACCUUACCCGGGCUUGAAUUGCAGAUGUAGGAUACAGAGAUGUUGACGCCCUUCGGGGCAUCUGUGAAGGUGCUGCAUGGCUGUCGUCAG
rnacentral:rRNA from 1 species